rnacentral:tRNA from 1 species
GCGGGUGAAGUGUUGCAGCGACACGCCGGUCUUCCAAACCGUGCAUCGCGGGUGCGACUCCCGCCACCCGCU